AUGUACAGCACUAAACAGCAGGAAAGUGUCAUUGCUAAAAGCAUAUACCAAUUAUUUUCACAGAGUAGCAAACAAAACUGCUGGGGCAAUAUAUAUGUUGACCAAACUGAGUUAACUCGAAAAUGUACUGACUUAACUUAUGGAUUGACAAAUCAAGCAGGUCAUCUUUUGUUUUCAAACAUUGGCAAGCGAAUUGUUCAAAUUAUGACUGACCCAAGA